rnacentral:ncRNA from 2 species
UCAUGAAUACGCGGGAGCCCGGACGCACCGGGCUGAGAGGGAGGCUGCGGCGGCCUCCGACCGUCCGAACCUGAUCCGGGUCAUUCCGGCGAAGGGAGCAGCGGCAGCGCCAUG